rnacentral:rRNA from 1 species
GACGAACGCUGGCGGCGUGCUUAACACAUGCAAGUCGAACGGUAAGGCCCUUCGGGGUACACGAGUGGCGAACGGGUGAGUAACGCGUGGGUGAUCUGCCCUGCACUUCGGGAUAAGCCUGGGAAACUGGGUCUAAUACCGGAUAGGACUCCGGACUGCAUGGUCUGGGGUGGAAAGCUUUUGCGGUGUGGGAUGGGCCCGCGGCCUAUCAGCUUGUUGGUGGGGUGAUGGCCUACCAAGGCGACGACGGGUAGCCGGCCUGAGAGGGUGACCGGCCACACUGGGACUGAGAUACGGCCCAGACUCCUACGGGAGGCAGCAGUGGGGAAUAUUGCACAAUGGGCGCAAGCCUGAUGCAGCGACGCCGCGUGAGGGAUGACGGCCUUCGGGUUAUAAACCUCUUUCAGCAUCGACGAAGCGAAAGUGACGGUAGGUGCAGAAGAAGGACCGGCCAACUACGUGCCAGCAGCCGCCGUAA